GACGAACGCUGGCGGCGUGCCUAAUACAUGCAAGUCGAGCGGACUUAAAAAGCUUGCUUUUUAAGUUAGCGGCGGACGGGUGAGUAACACGUGGGCAACCUGCCUGUAAGACUGGGAUAACUUCGGGAAACCGGAGCUAAUACCGGAUAAUCCUUUUCUACUCAUGUAGAAAAGCUGAAAGACGGUUUACGCUGUCACUUACAGAUGGGCCCGCGGCGCAUUAGCUAGUUGGUGAGGUAACGGCUCACCAAGGCGACGAUGCGUAGCCGACCUGAGAGGGUGAGCGGCAACACGGGAAAGGAGACAGGGCCCAGACUCCUAGGGGAGGCAGAAGUGGGGAAUAUUGGAAAAGGGGGGAAAGCCUGAGGGAGCAACGCGGGGUGAGGGAAGAAGUUUUUCGGAGUGAAAACCGCUUUUUUGAGGGAGGAAAAGUAAGGAGAUAACACCUUGUUGCUUUGAGGGUACCAACAAAAAAAGCACCGGCUAACUACGUG
rnacentral:rRNA from 1 species